GAUGAAGAACGCAGCGAAAUGCGAUAAGUAGUGUGAAUUGCAGAAUUCAGUGAAUCAUCGAAUCUUUGAACGCACAUUGCGCCCCUUGGUAUUCCAUGGGGCAUGCCUGUUCGAGCGUCAUUUGUACCUUCAAGCUCUGCUUGGUGUUGGGUGUUUGUCUCGCCUCUGCGUGUAGACUCGCCUCAAAACAAUUGGCAGCCGGCAUAUUGAUUUCGGAGCGCAGUACAUCUCGCGCUUUGCACUCAUAACGACGACGUCCAAAAGUACAUUUUUACACUCUUGACCUCGGAUCAGGUAGGGAUACCCGCUGAACUUAAGCAUAUCAAUAAGCGGAGGA
rnacentral:misc_RNA from 1 species